rnacentral:tRNA from 3 species
GCAGGUGUAGUUUAGUGGUAAAACUCCAGCCUUCCAAGCUGACUAUGAGGGUUCGAUUCCCUUCACCUGCU